UACGGGGGGGGCGAAGCGUUGUUCGGAAUUACUGGGCGUAAAGGGCUCGUAGGCGGCCAACUAAGUCGGAUGUGAAAUCCCCAGGCUUAACCUGGGAACUGCAUCCGAUACUGGAUGGCUUGAAUUCGGGAGAGGGAUGCAGAAUUCCAGGUGUAGCGGUGAAAUGCGUAGAUAUCUGGAGGAAUACCGGUGGCGAAGGCAGGUCUCUGGGCCACUACUGACGCUGAGAAGCGAAAAGCAUGGGGAG
rnacentral:rRNA from 1 species